UUUGAUUGUGGUCUAUUCAUUGAAACUAUUUCUGUGUUGUUAAGUUUGUUCAUUAUUCAUGGUUGAUAAUACGAAUACUAAUACCUCCCCCACAGACUCUACUAGUCCCCUCCUAAUUUACUCCUCCGACGUUCCUGGUAUGUCUCUUGUGUCCAUCCCCUUUUCAGGCAGUGGUUAUGGAGGGUGGAGGAGGAAGAUGAUUGUUUCCUUAUCUGCUAAAAACAAAAUCGGAUUUGUUGAUGACUCAUGUCCUCGACCAACCACUAGUGUGGCUGAACAGAGACUGUGGGAUAGAUGUAAUAACAUGGUCAUUUCCUGGUUGACUGCUUCCCUAUCUCCUCAGAUU
rnacentral:lncRNA from 1 species